UGCUAUCUAUGAUGAUAGAUGUCCAUCUUUUCUGAUUUAUCAGUGAAGAUCAAUACAUAAUCACCAUCUUUCGGCUGAGAUGAUA